rnacentral:rRNA from 1 species
GACGAACGCUGGCGGCGCGCCUAACACAUGCAAGUCGAACGAGCGAGCGAGAGCUUGCUUUCUCGAGCGAGUGGCGAACGGGUGAGUAACGCGUGAGGAACCUGCCUCAAAGAGGGGGACAACAGUUGGAAACGACUGCUAAUACCGCAUAAGCCCACGACCCGCCAUCGGGUGGAGGGAAAAGGGGCAGUUCGCUUUGGGAUGGCCGCGCGUCCGAUUAGUUAGUUGGUGAGGUAGCGGCCCACCAAGGCGACGAUCGGUAGCCGGGCUGGGGGGUGGAACGGCCAGGUUGGGGAUGCGACCCGGACCAGACCCCUACGGGAGGCAGCAGUGGGGAAUAUUGCACGAUGGGGGAAACCCUGAUGCAGCGACGCGGCGUGGAGGAAGAAGGGCGUUGGAUUGUAAACUCCUGUUGUAGAGGAAGAUAAUGACGGUACUCAACAAGGAAGUGACGGCUAACUACGUG